UACGUAGGUGGCAAGCGUUAUCCGGAUUUACUGGGUUUAAAGGGUGCGCAGGCGGGGGAUUAAGUCGGCGGUGAAAUUUUGCAGCUCAACUGUAAAAGUGCCUUCGAAACUGGUUUCCUUGAGUGUAGAUGAAGUAGGCGGAAUUUGUGGUGUAGCGGUGAAAUGCAUAGAUAUCACGAGGAACUCCGAUUGCGCAGGCAGCUUACUAAACUACUACUGACGCUCAGGCACGAAGGCGUGGGGAUCAAACAGGAUUAGAUACCCUGGUAGU
rnacentral:rRNA from 1 species